CAAAAACAUGGGCCUAGCUUUUCUUGUGUCAGAAAGCAAAUUAUCUUCAUGUGUGAGCCAGAGCGAGGAAGGCUAACUCCCUCACCAGACAUCAUUGUUUUGUCUGACAAUG
rnacentral:sRNA from 1 species